rnacentral:rRNA from 1 species
AUUGAACGCUGGCGGCAGGCCUAACACAUGCAAGUCGAACGAGUGGCGGACGGGUGAGUAAUGUCUGGGAAACUGCCUGAUGGAGGGGGAUAACUACUGGAAACGGUAGCUAAUACCGCAUACCAUCAGAUGUUCCCAGAUGGGAUUAGCUUGUUGGUUGGGUAACGGCUCACCAAGGCGACGAUCCCUAGCUGGUCUGCGAGGAUGACCAGCAAAACGGGAAAGGAGACACGGUCCAGACUCCUACGGGAGGCAGCAGUGGGGAAUAUUGCACAAUGGGCGAAAGCCUGAGGCAGCCAUGCCGCGUGUAUGAAGAAGGCCUGCGGGGUGUAAAGUACUUUAAGCGGGGAGGCGUUACCCGCAGAAGAAGCACCGGCUAAAUCCGUGCCAGCAGCCGCGGUAAUCC